GUCCGUGGAUAAUGGUGGCUCAGUGGUAGAGUUCUCGCCUCCCACACGAGCGACCCGGGUUCAAAUCCCGACUAGGACA